rnacentral:rRNA from 1 species
UACGGGGGGAGCAAGCGUUGUUCGGAUUUACUGGGUGUAAAGGGUGCUCAGGCGGUCUUGUAAGUUAGAAGUGAAAUCCUAGGGCUCAACUCUGGAACUGCUUUUAAUACUGCAAGGCUUGAAUAUGGAAGAGGAGGGUGGAAUUUCUGGUGUAGCAGUGAAAUGCGUAGAUAUCAGAAAGAACACCAGUGGCGAAGGCGGCCCUCUGGUCCAUUAUUGACGCUAAAGCACGAAAGCGUGGGGAGCAAACAGG